GACCGUGACACGAGACCACCUCACCCACGCCCGUGCCGACUAUCUUGCUAGUUAUCUAUUGAAGCUACCAUAAUUUGUCAACCUAAAACCGAUUUGACUUGAGAAAGAUCCUGAUUGGACGCUUAAGCGGUGACUGCGGCUUAAGGAAAGAGACUCAAAGCUCCUCCUUAUCAAGAGAUCGAUCGAAUCCGAUAGAUACACGUGCUGUGAUUAAGAAUACAAAAAACACAAGCGGUUGAGAAUUUAGUAUCACUUAAGUCUAAAGUUGAGCAUUCUCAAAAGACAGAAGUUAAGGUGUUUCGAAAAUAGUCAACGUGGUCAAGACACUCCCGUGACUUCUUAAAAACACGAAAAAUAAGAUACGAUGCGUACGACGUUUCAGAACCAUCCUCAACUCACUUUGAGGAAGGCAAAGGCACCCACCCGGCUUCAUGUCACGAUUUUCACUAAAUUGUGCCACAAGAGUCCGGCAUUUGAUUAUUAUCAGUUCCC